rnacentral:rRNA from 1 species
UAACCCCGUUCGGGGGUAAGGUGUUUAAACCCUUUUAUCUUAUGGGGAGACCCUCAUCAGGGGCACAAACUUCCGUGUGGUUCGCGAUGACCGGGACUUCGGUCCCGUGUCACGCAAUCGCUGCGGUCAUGUCCGGAGUGGUCGGCGUGCACUUCUCCCCUAGUAGGACGUCGCGAUUGUUGGGUGUCGGUUUACGGACCGGAAGGUCGCCUGACAAGUUACGUUCACGCGUGCACUAGUCAGACCUCUGGCUUCCCAACCGGCUGCCCGGCGAUAUAAAACGAUAAUCAAUGGUAUUGGGCCGCAUCGAAUGCGUUCAGGCUCGUCGGCAGGUACGCCUCGCUCGGAUUUACGGACCUAGCGCCGUUGCCGGGUGCUUGGCGUGCCGUUCGCCGACGAUGUCCUCGGACUGGCUCUUUAUAUUCUUUAUGAAUAUACCGAUCGGCGACGCUACUGCUUUGGGUACUUUCAGGACCCGUCUUGAAACACGGACCAAGGAGUCUAACAUGUGCGCGAGUCAUUGAGUCAAUUAAAGCUUAAAGGCGUAAUGAAAGUAAAGGUCUUUUGGAACAUGGACCGAGGGGGGGGGGGGG